CCAGGGAGCACUGAAUGCACA
rnacentral:miRNA from 1 species